rnacentral:lncRNA from 10 species
AUAUAAACUGUAUAUCAUAUAUAUCUGCACAUAUAAACUAUCAUAUAUAAUACAUCUGCACAUACAAACUAUCAUAUCUGCACAUAUAAACUAUAUCAUAUAUAUCUGCACAUAUAAACUAUCAUAUAUAAUACAUCUGCACAUACAAACUAUGUAUCAUAUAUAAUACAUCUGCACUUAUAAACUCUGUGUAUCAUACAUAAUACAUCUGCACAUAUAAACUAUCAUAUCUGUACAUAUAAACUGUGUAUAUCAUAUAUAUCUGCACAUAUAAACUGUAUCAUAUAUAAUCUGCACUUAUAAACUGUAUCAUAUAUAUCUGCACAUAUAAACUGUAUCAUAUAUAUCUGCACAUAUAAACUGUCAUAUAUAAUACAUCUGCACAUAUAAACUGUGUGUAUCAUAUAUACAUCUGCACAUAUAAACUGUGUGUAUCAUAUAUAAUACAUCUGCACUUAUAAACUGUAUCAUAUAUAUCUGCACAUAUAAACUGUAUCAUAUAUAAUAUAUCUGCACAUAUAAACUAUCAUAUAUAAUACAUCUGCACAUAUAAACUGUAUCAUAUAUAACUGCACAUAUAAACUGUCAUAUAUAUCUGCACAUAUAAACUGUCAUAUAUAUGCACAUAUAAACUAUCAUAUAUAAUACAUCUGCACAUAUAAACUGUGUAUCAUAUAUAAUACAUCUGCACAUAUAAACUAUCAUAUAUAAUACAUCUGCACAUAUAAACUGUAUCAUAUAUAAUACAUCUGCACAUAUAAACUGUGUAUCAUAUAUAAUACAUCUGCACUUAUAAACUGUGUCAUAUAUCUGCACAUAUAAACUAUCAUAUAAUACAUCUGCAUAUAUAAACUAUCAUAUAUACAUCUGCACAUAUAAACUAUAUCAUAUAUCUGCACAUAUAAACUGUGUGUGUAUCAUAUAUAAUCUGCACAUAUAAAUUGUGUAUAAUACAUCUGCACAUAUAAACUGUAUCAUAUAUAAUACAUCUGCACAUAUAAACUAUCAUAUCUGCACAUAUAAACUAUCAUAUCUGCACAUAUAAACUAUCAUAUAUCUGCACAUAUAAACUGUAUCAUAUAUAAUACAUCUGCACAUAUAAACUGUAUCAUAAUACAUCUGCACAUAUAAACUGUCAUGUAUAUCUGCACAUAUAAACUGUAUCAUAUAUAUUUGCACAUAUAAACUGUGUGUAUCAUAUAAUACAUCUGCACAUAUAAACUAUCAUAUAUAAUACAUCUGCACAUAGAAACUGUGUAUCAUAUAUCUGCACAUAUAAGCUGUGUGUGUAUCAUAUAUAUCUGCACAUAUAAACUGUGUGUAUCAUAUAUAAUACAUCUGCACAUAUAAAUGUGUGUAUCAUAUAUAUCCACACAUAUAAACUGUGUGUGUAUCAUAUAUCUACACAUAUAAACUGUGUGUAUCAUAUAUAAUACAUCUGCACAUAUAAACUGUGUGUAUCAUAUAUAUCCGCACAUAUAAACUGUGUGUGUAUCAUAUAUAUCUGCACAUAUAAACUGUGUGUGUAUCAUAUAUAAUACAUCUGCACACAUGCUUCUCUGUAUUGAAAACCAAAUUGUCACGGACCACUCCCAUUCUCACGCAGCAUUUAGGGCUGUGGCUAGCCUUUCCCAGCUGUAAGAAACCUGUCUUUCAGCAUGAUAAACACAUUUACUUAUUUGCUCAGUCCUCUAAUAUGCAGAAAGUAGUUUUAGAAUUGCCAAAACCAUACAACUUGGAAAAACAAGCAUGAUUACUUCAAGAUGUGUUUGUAGCUCCUUCUGUCCUGGCAUUGGACGUGGAGAGAAAGCACAGACUGUUCCAAGUUUCAUUUUUCCCCUUCUCUGAAACGCAGAGAGCGUUGUUUGUUUCUGUUUGUAUUUCAUUUGGGUCCUCCCUCUAGCCUUAUUCAUAAAUUUGUAAAUGAUCUUUAACAAUCUGUUAUAUUUAUGAUGUUUUACUGCGUGCUGCCUGUGAAAAUGUUUCCUUCUUCUGACACGUUCCAGAACAACUAGGCUUUUAAAUUCCAAAUAUUCCUGUUUCACAAUAAACCAGAUGAGGGCCUCUGUUGUGCCACAGCUUUUGGAAUGUGGUUUAUUACCAAUAGAAGUGGCUGCGUGGCUUGUUAUGGUUUCAAUUACACGUGAGUAACAACCGGGGCCCUUCUGUGUCAGGUGCUGCUGAUCAAGGCUGGCUAAUGGGGACCUCGCUGUCCAGAACGGGCGUUUCCCAUGGCCCGGCCCAGCUGUUUACCACUUCUGUCUACCAUUUCAGAGGGGCUUUGCGGAGAUUAAAUGAGGUGAAGCGCUCUGAGAACCUCAGUCCUAAAGAAUAGCAGUUAUACUGGUUUUUGUAUUAUAUUUAUAUAUUCUUCUUGUUAAUAUACUGGUUUUAAUGUUCAUCGUUCUCUUGGGAUCCCAUGACAGUGAGCCUGGUGUACCUGAGGUCUGGGAUACUCACACCUCUCCCCAGUCCCAUGCUCCCCACUGUGGCAGUGCCUGUCAGGGACCCUGCUGACCCCAGGAAGCCUCGGUGUCCCCAGCGCUGGCUCUGCUCACACAGGCAGCAGGCUUAGUGUUCUCUGGCCUGGCUGCACUGACUGGACCAGGGACAGGGGAAGGGCCCCAAAGCACCCUGUUCCAGGCAGCCGGCCAGUCGUGGCCGAGGAGCUCCAUUCAACAGUGGCACCCAGAGGGGCCAGGGUCUCAUAAAGCUGGUCAGACGCCCCCUCUGGGUAGGGGUGUAGGAAGCGGCUGUGCAGCCGGGUCCCAGGUAGGGAGGCAUAGAGUGAAGGCUGUGAGCAGGAGCCCUGGGGCGGAGGGCCAGGAGAAGGCUGGGCACAGGUCCAUCGGUGGCAGCUGGGUGGGCAGAGCAGAGAGGCUGCAUCUGCACGACGGCAGGGCCCUGGUGUGGGAACAGCAGACGGGGCCCCUGGGUGCGGCGCCUCCUUCCCACAUCCCUGCUGCUCCUGCAUCUGCUGCUGGAGAAGACCACGACGUGCUCAGACCCCGGCACUGGAGAACUCCAGAUGUGGUGAGGGCUGCACGUUAGCUGCAUACGCACAUCUGGAAGGUGAGGCAGACGUGCCCACCGCCUCCAUGCCUGGCCCACAGUUGUGGGCAUGCAGAGCUCCUCUGUGGCAGGCCCAGGCUGCACCAGCUGCCUGGAGAGGCACUGGGGGCGGGGCCUCACUUGAGGGGCAGAUUCUCCCACCCAGCCAGUCCAGGCCCAGCGGCUGGAGCAUCCCGUCCAGCAAAUUGUCCUGCAAGUUGCCCUGGAGACCCAGCGUCUCUCAUCACGUCUCACUCCCCUGCCAGAUGCCUCUGCGGCAAUAACGAGAGUGGCUCUGCCUUCUGCACUGAAUGCCGACAGGUGACCAGAACAUGACACUGGGGUUAUGCAGUGCCCUGGUUGAUAUUCUAGUUCAUCAGGGAGCUUCUGGAAUGAUUUUUUUUUUCUUUUUUUUUUUUUUUUGAGACAGAGUCUCUCUCUGUCGCCCAGGCUGGAGUGCAAUGGAGCAAUCUUGGCUCACCACAACCUCUGCCUCCGGGGUUCAAGUGAUUCUCCUGUCUGAGCCUCCUGAGUAGCUGGGAUUACAGGUGUCCACCACUAUCACUCAGUUAAUUUUUAUAUUUUUAGUAGAGAUGGGGUUUCACCAUGUUGCCUGGGCUGGUCUCAAACUCCUGACCUCAGGUGAUCUGCCUCCUCAGCCUCCCAAAGUGCUGGGAUUACAGGCAUGAGCCACCUCACCCAGCCAACUUUCUUUUGCUUCACUUUUCCUCUGGUUGCCCCAUCUUUAUUGUCAAGUCCUGUUAAGAGGAACAACAUUAAAAUGAGAGCUUUCAUGGCAAAAAGGUUGCUGUGGGUUGAGCUUGCAAUGUUAGCUGCGUGUUAGGAUUCAGCUGACAUCUGUCUCUGGAGUCUCGCCCUUUCUGUAAUUCGCUUUUGACUGUAAUAAAUGUUGUACAGGCCAGGUGCAGUGACUCACACCUGUAAUCCCAGCACUUUGCAAGGCCAAGGCAGGUGGACCACGAGGUCAGGAGAUCGAGAUCAUCCUGGCUAACACGGUGAAACCCCGUCUCCACUGAAAAUACAGAAAAUUAGCUGGGUGUGGUGGCACCUGCCUGUGGUCCCAGCUAUU